GAUGAACGCUGGCGGCGUGCCUAAUACAUGCAAGUCGAGCGAACGGACGAGAAGCUUGCUCCUCUGACGUUAGCGGCGGACGGGUGAGUAACACGUGGAUAACCUACCUAUAAGACUGGGAUAACUUCGGGAAACCGGAGCUAAUACCGGAUAAUAUUUUGAACCGCAUGGUUCAAAAGUGAAAGACGGUCUUGCUGUCACUUAUAGAUGGAUCCGCGCCGCAUUAGCUAGUUGGUAAGGUAACGGCUUACCAAGGCAACGAUGCAUAGCCGACCUGAGAGGGUGAUCGGCCACACUGGAACUGAGACACGGUCCAGACUCCUACGGGAGGCAGCAGUAGGGAAUCUUCCGCAAUGGGCGAAAGCCUGACGGAGCAACGCCGCGUGAGUGAUGAAGGUCUUCGGAUCGUAAAACUCUGUUAUUAGGGAAGAACAAAUGUGUAAGUAACUGUGCACAUCUUGACGGUACCUAAUCAGAAAGCCACGGCUAACUACGUG
rnacentral:rRNA from 1 species